ensembl:ncRNA C29A12.11 ncRNA
CAUAUAGGAACAGAAGAGAUAAGAUUCAAAGAAUUGAAUGGAAUUUAAUUUAGCGAUGAUGUCCCGAGAUUUGUCAGCAAUUCAUGCGUGCUUUGUUAUGCUGCUGCUCCAGUAGUAG